rnacentral:rRNA from 1 species
GUUUACGGCCACACAGCCUGGUUCACGCCCGAUCUCGUUUGAUCUCGGAAACUAAGAUAGGUGGCCUGUUAGUACUUGGAUGGGAGACCGCCUGGGAAUACCAGGUGCUGUAAGCC